rnacentral:tRNA from 1 species
ACCUGGCUGGCUCAGUUGGUAAAGCAUGCAACUCUUGAUCUCAGGGUCAUGAGUUCAAGCCCCAUGUUGGGUG